rnacentral:rRNA from 1 species
UACGAAGGGGGGCUAGCGUUGCUCGGAAUCACUGGGCGUAAAGGGUGCGUAGGCGGAUUGUUAAGUCAGGGGUGAAAUCCUGGAGCUCAACUCCAGAACUGCCUUUGAUACUGGCGAUCUCGAGUCCGGGAGAGGUGAGUGGAACUGCGAGUGUAGAGGUGAAAUUCGUAGAUAUUCGCAAGAACACCAGUGGCGAAGGCGGCUCACUGGCCCGGUACUGACGCUGAGGUGCGAAAGCGUGGGGAGCAAACAGG